rnacentral:rRNA from 1 species
ACUCCUACGGGAGGCAGCAGUGGGGAAUAUUGCACAAUGGGCGCAAGCCUGAUGCAGCCAUGCCGCGUGUAUGAAGAAGGCCUUCGGGUUGUAAAGUACUUUCAGCAGUGAGGAAGGUGGAGUCGUUAAUAGCGGCCUCAUUUGACGUUAGCUGCAGAAGAAGCACCGGCUAACUCCGUGCCAGCAGCCGCGGUAAUACGGAGGGUGCGAGCGUUAAUCGGAAUUACUGGGCGUAAAGCGCGCGUAGGCGGCUUGAUAAGCCGGUUGUGAAAGCCCAGGGCUGCAACCUGGGAACGGCAUCCGGAACUGAUCAGGCUAGAGUGCAGGAGAGGGAAGGUAGAAUUCCCGGUGUAGCGGUGAAAUGCGUAGAGAUCGGAGGAAU